UACUCCUCUCUUGAAAACAAAGUCUCUAAAUUCCCAAAACAAGAGGAGUCUCACCCACACCACAGCCUUCUCAAACAAAAAUCCACACACUCACUGGUCUCUUACAUUCCAUACCAUCCCAUGCAUUGCUUGAUGAUAGUAUAACAGAGUUCCUCAACCAAAUCAUCGACCAAGCUCUGGUCAUUUGUCCUCUUGCAUAAACAUUUUUCUCUGCAGCAACUCUAAUGAAGUCAAAGAUUCAAAAGUGUGCCAAACCUCCAGCCCAGUCCUGCCCUUGGAAGUAGAAUUUUUUGCUUGGUUGAGAAUUGAGCAUCCAUUAACCUUAAAUUUGCCUUCCCAGUGACAGUGAAGCGCACUUGAAGCAAGCAUCGGCCCAUCACAACCUUCAGGCCACAGUUUGUGUUCCCUUUCGUCUCCCCAACUUCCUCUCCCUCUGAGGAAUUUAAUCCUUCAACUGCUUUGGACUCAGGGUCAGAAUCUCACUUUGAAAAGCCUUCCAGAUAAAAAAAGGAAAGGAAAAAGAACCUUAGAAUGCUCUCUCUUGUUCCAGGGAGACUAAGAAACCUAAUUCUCAGCAAUCAGUUGCAACUAGAAAAUGCAUGCAUUGUGAAGUGACAGAGACACCACAAUGGAGGGAAGGUCCUCUGGGACCAAAGACCCUUUGUAAUGCAUGUGGGUUGAUACAGGUCUAGCUGCCUACUUCCUGAGUAUCGACCUGCUGCAAGUCCAACAUUUGUUCCAUCAUUGCACUCCAACUCUCACAAAAGGGCUCUGGAGAUGAGAAACAAGCACAGGCAGUAGACCAGUAUGUAUGACUUGCAAGUCUGGCAGAGAGGCAGUAAACCACUGUGGUUGUGAGGUACUUUGUAUGAGCAGACACAUUAGACAAUUAUUUAUAGGACAGCAAGCCCCAUGAUUCUGUUUACUGUUUUUUAUGUUAUCCUGGUUGAUUUGUUUUGUAUAUUAAUGGAAUAAGAGGUAGGAAGUAGUCGGAGUAGGAGCCUUUGGUGCUUAGCACAUGUUUGUCACUAGGAAAAGAAAAGGCAAUAGAAUUAUCAGAUGAGGCAGAGAAUGAAAUUGGUGUAAGUGGUAACCUUUAAACUUUAGGCUCUCUGGUGGUGUUUGAUGUGCACAUUCAAUUAGUUGCUGUGGACUGCAUUUUGAACAUCAUCUUCAGGUUUUUCAUGGACAUUUAUUUGUUUAU